AUAUAGGCAGACAAGAGACAACCUGGCGAACUGAAACAUCUUAGUAGCCAGAGGAAGAGAAAGCAAAAGCGAUUCCCUGAGUAGUGGCGAGCGAAAUGGGAACAGCCUAAACCGCUAUUAUAGGCGGGGUUGUGGGGGGGUAUUUCAAUUUGAUAAGAACUAGGUGAAUCAGUUAAAUGCUGUACCAUAGAUGGUGAAAGUCCAGUAACUAAAAGUUCUUAAAAAAUUUUACUCUAACCCGAGUAGCAUGAGGCACGUGAAACCUUGUGUGAAUCAGCGAGGACCACCUCGUAAGGCUAAAUACUCCUGGGUGACCGAUAGUGAAGUAGUACCGUGAGGGAAAGGUGAAAAGAACCCCCAUCGGGGAGUGAAAUAGAUCAUGAAACCGCAAGCCUACAAGCAGUGGAAGGAGAAUAGAAUCUCUGCCCGCGUGCCUGUUGAAGAAUGAGCCGGCGACUUAUAAGCAGUGGCCUGGUUAAGGGAAUACCGAAGCCAUAGCGAAAGNGAGUCAUACUAGGGCGAACGUCACUGUUUAUGGACCCGAACCCGGGUGAUCUAUCCAUGGCCAGGGUGAAGCUUGGGUGAAACCAAGUGGAGGCCCGAACCGACUGGUGUUGAAAAACCAGCGGAUGAGCUGUGGUUAGGGGUGAAAUGCCACUCGAACCCGGAGCUAGCUGGUUCUCCCCGAAAUGCGUUGAGGCGCAGCGGUUGAUUGGACUAUCUAGGGGUAAAGCACUGUUUCGGUGCGGGCUGUGAAAACGGUACCAAAUCGAGGCAAACUCUGAAUACUAGAUAUGACUAGCAGUCAGCCAGUGAGACGGUGGGGGAUAAGCUCCAUCGUCGAGAGGGAAACAGCCCAGAUCACCAGCUAAGGCCCCUAAAUGGCCGCUCAGUGAUAAAGGAGGUGAGAGUGCAAAGACAGCCAGGAGGUUUGCCUAGAAGCAGCCACCCUUGAAAGAGUGCGUAAUAGCUCACUGAUCGAGCGCUCUUGCGCCGAAGAUGAACGGGACUAAGCGGUCUGCCGAAGCUGUGAGAUGUCAUACAAUAAACAUCGGUAGGGGAGCGUUCCGCGUUAGGUAGAAGCAUUAGUGUAAGCAAGUGUGGACGAGGCGGAAGUGAGAAUGUCGGCUUGAGUAACGCAAACAUUGGUGAGAAUCCAAUGCCCCGAAAACCCAAGGUUUUCUUCGCAAGGUUCGUCCACGGGGAGUGAGUCAGGACCUAAGAUCAAGCCGAAUGGCGUAGUCGAUGGACAACAGGUUAAUAUUCCUGUACUGUUUUUUGUUUGCUAUAGAGGGACGGAGAAGGCUAAGGGUAGCCAAAUACUGGUUAUUGGUUUAAGGAUAUUAAACAUCCGAUACUACCUAUGCCAUACUUCCAAGAAAAGCUCGAAAAGUGAAAAACACAAAACACCUGUACCUGAAACCGACACAGGUGGGUAGGUAGAGAAUACCUAGGGGCGCGAGAUAACUCUCUCUAAGGAACUCGGCAAGAUAGCCCCGUAACUUCGGGAGAAGGGGUGCCUCUUUUUUUUAAAAGAGGCCGCAGUGACCAGGCCCAGGCGACUGUUUACCAAAAACACAGGUCUCCGCAAAGUCGCAAGACGACGUAUGGGGGCUGACGCCUGCCCAGUGCCGGAAGGUUAAGGAAGUUAGUGACUCGAAAACGAGGUAGCUAGCGACUGAAGCCCCGGUGAACGGCGGCCGUAACUAUGACGGUCCUAAGGUAGCGAAAUUCCUUGUCGGGUAAGUUCCGACCCGCACGAAAGGCGUAACGAUCUGGGCACUGUCUCGGAGAGAGACUCGGUGAAAUAGACUUGUCUGUGAAGAUGCGGACUACCUGCACCUGGACAGAAAGACCCUAUGAAGCUUUACUGUUCCCUGGGAUUGGGUUUGGGCCUCUCUUGCGCAGCUUAGGUGGGAGGCAAAGAUAAUAUUCUUCCGGGAAUGUUGGAGCCAUCAAUGAGACACCACCCUAGAGAGGCUAGGAUUCUAACCUUGCGCCUACAAGAAGGUCAGGAGACAUUCCCAGGUAGACAGUUUCUAUGGGGCGUAGGCCUCCUAAAGAGUAACGGAGGCGUGCAAAGGUUUCCUCAGGCUGGACGGAAAUCAGCCUUCGAGUGCAAAGGCAAAAGGGAGCUUGACUGCGAGACCUACACGUCGAGCAGGGACGAAAGUCGGCCUUAGUGAUCCGACGGUACCGAGUGGAAGGGCCGUCGCUCAACGGAUAAAAGUUACUCUAGGGAUAACAGGCUGAUCUUCCCCAAGAGUUCACA
rnacentral:rRNA from 1 species